rnacentral:rRNA from 1 species
UACUCCUACGGGAGGCAGCAGCCGCGGUAAUGGACGGAAGUCUGACCGAGCAACGCCGCGUGAGUGAAGAAGGUUUUCGGAUCGUAAAGCUCUGUUGUAAGAGAAGAACGAGUGUGAGAGUGGAAAGUUCACACUGUGACGGUAUCUUACCAGAAAGGGACGGCUAACUCCGUGCCAGCAGCCGCGGUAAU